rnacentral:rRNA from 1 species
GAUGAACCCUUUUGGGGUGCUUAACACAUGCAAGUCGAACGAAGCACUUUACCGGAUUUCUUCGGAAUGAAAGUUUUGUGACUGAGUGGCGGACGGGUGAGUAACGCGUGGGUAACCUGCCUCAUACAGGGGGAUAACAGUUAGAAAUGACUGCUAAUACCGCAUAAGACCACAGGACCGCAUGGUCCGGUGGUAAAAACUCCGGUGGUAUGAGAUGGACCCGCGUCUGAUUAGCUAGUUGGUAAGGUAACGGCUUACCAAGGCGACGAUCAGUAGCCGACCUGAGAGGGUGACCGGCCACAUUGGGACUGAGACACGGCCCAAACUCCUACGGGAGGCAGCAGUGGGGAAUAUUGCACAAUGGGGGAAACCCUGAUGCAGCGACGCCGCGUGAGCGAUGAAGUAUUUCGGUAUGUAAAGCUCUAUCAGCAGGGAAGAAUUAGGACGGUACCUGACUAAGAAGCACCGGCUAAAUACGUGCCAGCAGCCGCGGUAAUACGUAUGGUGCAAGCGUUAUCCGGAUUUACUGGGUGUAAAGGGAGCGUAGACGGAGAGGCAAGUCUGAUGUGAAAACCCGGGGCUCAACCCCGGGACUGCAUUGGAAACUGUUUUUCUAGAGUGUCGGAGAGGUAAGUGGAAUUCCUAGUGUAGCGGUGAAAUGCGUAGAUAUUAGGAGGAACACCAGUGGCGAAGGCGGCUUACUGGACGAUGACUGACGUUGAGGCUCGAAAGCGUGGGGAGCAAACAGGAUUAGAUCCCCCUGGUAGUCCACGCCGUAAACGAUGAAUGCUAGGUGUCGGGAGGCAAAGCCUUUGGGUGCCGCAACAAACGCAAUAAGCAGUCCACCUGGGGAGUACGUUCGCAAGAAUGAAACUCAAAGGAAUUGACGGGGACCCGCACAAGCGGUGGAGCAUGUGGUUUAAUUCGAAGCAACGCGAAGAACCUUACCUGCCCUUGACAUCCGGCUGACCGGCGAGUAAUGUCGCCUUUCCUUCGGGACAGCCGAGACAGGUGGUGCAUGGUUGUCGUCAGCUCGUGUCGUGAGAUGUUGGGUUAAGUCCCGCAACGAGCGCAACCCUUAUCUUUAGUAGCCAGCAUUUCGGAUGGGCACUCUAGAGAGACUGCCAGGGAUAACCUGGAGGAAGGUGGGGAUGACGUCAAAUCAUCAUGCCCCUUAUGGGCAGGGCUACACACGUGCUACAAUGGCGUAAACAAAGGGAGGCAAGCCUGCGAGGGUGAGCAAAUCCCAAAAAUAACGUCUCAGUUCGGAUUGUAGUCUGCAACUCGACUACAUGAAGCUGGAAUCGCUAGUAAUCGCGAAUCAGAAUGUCGCGGUGAAUACGUUCCCGGGUCUUGCACU